rnacentral:rRNA from 1 species
AUGGAUUCUGAGACACGAAUCCAGACCCUACGGGGUGCAGCAGGCGCGAAAACUUGGCAAUGCGAGAAAUCGUGACCAGGGAACUCCAAGUGCAUGGGGUAAGACCCAUGCUUUUCUUGACUCUAAAUAGGUCUUGGAAUAAGGGGUGGGUAAGGACGGUGCCAGCCGCCGCGGUAAUACCGGCGCCUCAAGUGGUAGUCGCUUUUAUUGGGCCUAAAACGUCCGUAGCCGGUCUGAUACAUUCGUGGGUAAAUCAACCAGCUCAACUGGUUGAAUUCUGCGAGGACGGUCAGACUUGGGACCGGGAGAGGUGUGGGGUACGCUCAGGGUAGGGGUAAAAUCCUGUCAUCCUGAGCGGACCACCUGUUGCGAAGGCGCCACACUAGAACGGAUCCGACGGUCAGGGACGAAGCCUAGGGGCACGAACCGGAUUAGAUACCCGGGUAGUCCUAGGUGUAAACGCUGUGGACUUGAUGUUGGGGGUGCUCCGAGCACUCUCAGUGUCGAAGCGAAGGUGAUAAGUCCACUGCCUGGGAAGUACGGUCGCAAGGCUGAAACUUAAAGGAAUUGGCGGGGGAGCACCGCAACCUGAGGAUUGUGCGGUUUAAUUGGAUUCAACGCCGGAAAACUCACCAUAGCCGACGGACAAAUGAAGGUCAGUGUAAUGAACUUACCGGAUUGUUCGAGAGGUAGUGCAUGGCCGCCGUCAGUUCGUACCGCAAGGCGUUCUGUUAAGUCAGAUAACGAACGAGACCCUCAUCUCUAUUUGCUAACUGGAUCUCCGGAUUUAGUGCACUAUAGAGAGACCGCUGGCGCUAAGUCAGAGGAAGGGGAGGGCAACGGUAGGUCAGUAUGCUCCGAAUGCUAUGGGCUACACGCGCAAUACAAAGGACGGGACAAUGGGCUGCUGCUCCGAAAGGAACGAUAGCUAUCCCGAAACCCGUUCGUAGUUCGGAUUGAGGGCUGUAACUCGCCCUCAUGAAGCUGGAUUAGGUAGUAAUCGCGUCUCAAAAAGGCGCGGUGAAUAUGCCCCUGCUCCUUGCACACACCGCCCGUCAAACCAUCUUAGUUGUGGGUGGGUGAGGCUACCUCUUAAUGUGGUAUUCGAGCCUGCCUUCGACAGAUCGGAAGAGCGUCGUGUAGGGAAAGAGUG